UAACAGGAAGCAGCUUGCUGCUUUGCUGACGAGUGGCGGACGGGUGAGUAAUGUCUGGGAAACUGCCUGAUGGAGGGGGAUAACUACUGGAAACGGUGGCUAAUACCGCAUAACGUCGCAAGACCAAAGAGGGGGACCUUCGGGCCUCUUGCCAUCAGAUGUGCCCAGAUGGGAUUAGCUAGUUGGUGAGGUAACGGCUCACCAAGGCGACGAUCCCUAGCUGGUCUGAGAGGAUGACCAGCCACACUGGAACUGAGACACGGUCCAGACUCCUACGGGAGGCAGCAGUGGGGAAUAUUGCACAAUGGGCGCAAGCCUGAUGCAGCCAUGCCGCGUGUAUGAAGAAGGCCUUCGGGUUGUAAAGUACUUUCAGCGGGGAGGAAGGUGUUGUGGUUAAUAACCGCAGCAAUUGACGUUACCCGCAGAAGAAGCACCGGCUAACUCCGUGCCAGCAGCCGCGGUAAUACGGAGGGUGCAAGCGUUAAUCGGAAUUACUGGGCGUAAAGCGCACGCAGGCGGUCUGUCAAGUCGGAUGUGAAAUCCCCGGGCUCAACCUGGGAACUGCAUUCGAAACUGGCAGGCUUGAGUCUUGUAGAGGGGGGUAGAAUUCCAGGUGUAGCGGUGAAAUGCGUAGAGAUCUGGAGGAAUACCGGUGGCGAAGGCGGCCCCCUGGACAAAGACUGACGCUCAGGUGCGAAAGCGUGGGGAGCAAACAGGAUUAGAUACCCUGGUAGUCCACGCCGUAAACGAUGUCUACUUGGAGGUUGUGCCCUUGAGGCGUGGCUUCCGGAGCUAACGCGUUAAGUAGACCGCCUGGGGAGUACGGCCGCAAGGUUAAAACUCAAAUGAAUUGACGGGGGCCCGCACAAGCGGUGGAGCAUGUGGUUUAAUUCGAUGCAACGCGAAGAACCUUACCUGGUCUUGACAUCCACAGAAGAAUCCAGAGAUGGAUUUGUGCCUUCGGGAACUGUGAGACAGGUGCUGCAUGGCUGUCGUCAGCUCGUGUUGUGAAAUGUUGGGUUAAGUCCCGCAACGAGCGCAACCCUUAUCCUUUGUUGCCAGCGGUCCGGCCGGGAACUCAAAGGAGACUGCCAGUGAUAAACUGGAGGAAGGUGGGGAUGACGUCAAGUCAUCAUGGCCCUUACGACCAGGGCUACACACGUGCUACAAUGGCGCAUACAAAGAGAAGCGACCUCGCGAGAGCAAGCGGACCUCAUAAAGUGCGUCGUAGUCCGGAUUGGAGUCUGCAACUCGACUCCAUGAAGUCGGAAUCGCUAGUAAUCGUGGAUCAGAAUGCCACGGUGAAUACGUUCCCGGGCCUUGUACACACCGCCCGUCACACCAUGGGAGUGGGUUGCAAAAGAAGUAGGUAGCUUAACCUUCGGGAGGGCGCUUACCACUUUGUGAUUCAUGACUGGGGUGAAGUCGUAACAAGGUAACCGUAGGGGAACCUGCGGUUGGAUCACCUCCUUA
rnacentral:rRNA from 1 species